rnacentral:rRNA from 1 species
UCCUACNGGGNAGCAGCAGUAGGGAAUCUUCCGCAAUGGACGAAAGUCUGACGGAGCAACGCCGCGUGAGUGAUGAAGGCUUUCGGGUCGUAAAACUCUGUUGUUAGGGAAGAACAAGUACGAGAGUAACUGCUCGUACCUUGACGGUACCUAACCAGAAAGCCACGGCUAACUACGUGCCAGCAGCCGCGGUAAUACGUAGGUGGCAAGCGUUAUCCGGAAUUAUUGGGCGUAAAGCGCGCGCAGGCGGUUUCUUAAGUCUGAUGUGAAAGCCCACGGCUCAACCGUGGAGGGUCAUUGGAAACUGGGGAACUUGAGUGCAGAAGAGAAAAGCGGAAUUCCACGUGUAGCGGUGAAAUGCGUAGAGAUGUGGAGGAACACCAGUGGCGAAGGCGGCUUUUUGGUCUGUAACUGACGCUGAGGCGCGAAAGCGUGGGGAGCAAACAGGAUUAGAUACCCUGGUAGUCCACGCCGUAAACGAUGAGUGCUAAGUGUUAGAGGGUUUCCGCCCUUUAGUGCUGCAGCUAACGCAUUAAGCACUCCGCCUGGGGAGUACGGUCGCAAGNA